rnacentral:tRNA from 1 species
GGGGUCGUGGCUCAGCGGUAGAGCGCUCAUCUAGCACGUGCGAGGCCCUGGGUUCAAUCCUCAGCACCCCA